rnacentral:rRNA from 1 species
AGCAUAUCAAUAAGCGGAGGAAAAGAAACCAACAGGGAUUCCCCUAGUAACGGCGAGUGAAGCGGGAACAGCUCAAAUUUGAAAUCUGGCCCUCGGGUCCGAGUUGUAAUUUGUAGAGGAUGCUUUUGGUGCGGUGCCUUCCGAGUUCCCUGGAACGGGACGCCUUAGAGGGUGAGAGCCCCGUACGGUUGGACGCCUAGCCUCUGUAAAGCUCCUUCGACGAGUCGAGUAGUUUGGGAAUGCUGCUCUAAAUGGGAGGUAUAUUUCUUCUAAAGCUAAAUACUGGCCAGAGACCGAUAGCGCACAAGUAGAGUGAUCGAAAGAUGAAAAGCACUUUGAAAAGAGGGUUAAAUAGCACGUGAAAUUGUUGAAAGGGAAGCGUUUAUCACCAGACUUUUUCUAGGGGGAUCAUCCGGUGUUCUCACCGGUGCACUUCCCCUAGUUGAGGCCAGCAUCGGUUUUCGGAGGGGGAUAAAAGUUUCGGGAAUGUGACUCCCCCGGGAGUGUUAUAGCCCGUUACAUAAUACCCUUCUGGGGACCGAGGUUCGCGCAUCUGCAAGGAUGCUGGCAUAAUGGUGAUCAACGACCCG